AUGAAGAGAAAAGUAAGUAAAAUGAAAGACUGAGAAAAAGCCACGAUUUUCAGUUGAAAGAGGAACACAUGGAGAAGACUGCUUACCUUUAUUAUGAUGUGAAGAAAGAAAAACAAAUGGAAAUUAAUUUUGAUGAGGAAUGCAGUUUUCUAAGAAGAAUGAAAGUAGAAGAGAAACACAGUGAUAUAUGUUGUUCGGCUUGAAGAUACUUACAUCCAUCGGAAGGAGUUUUUGUUCGAUUAAUGAGAGCUACAAGAAGAUAAGAUGUUUUUCUUUUACAGAUCUUGUUUUCUGUUUUUAUUCUUGUACUUUAAAGUGAACUAUCAUGUUUAUAUAGACAAUGGACUGUUACAUGAAAUUUUGUAAUUUGUUAAAGAAAAAUUAGACUGUUAAGAUCAAAAUCUUCACAAAUAUCCAUAUUGAUCUCAAUGCAUGUAGCUCUCUACCUUCCAAAAACUGAUGUUUGUCUAACCUUUUUCAGGUAAUUGGAAGCCAAUCAGCUUGAGACAUUUAGAUAGCUUGAGUUCAUAACAAGCUUUGUAAGCAUAUCGGUAGCAUUCUAAGAGGCCUAAAACAAAACUACUUUAUUCUUACCCACUAAGAGAAAAGUAAGUAAGAAUGUAAGAUUAAAAAAAAGCCACGAUUUUGAGCUGAAAGGGGAACACAUGGAGAAGACAACUUACCCGUAUUCUGAUGUGAAGAAAGAAAAACAAAUGGAAGUUAAUUUGAUGAGAUUUACAGGUUGUUGAUUAUAAGCAUGCAACUUUCUAAGAAAAAGAGAAGUAUAAGAGCAACACAGUGAUAUAUGUGGUUCAACUUGAAGAUGCCUACAUCCACGGGAAGGGGUUUUUGUUCAAUUAAUGAGAGUUACAAGAAGAUAAGAUGUUUUUCUUUUACAGAUCUUGUUUUCUGUUUUUCUACUUGUAAUUUGAAAGUAAACUACCAUGCAUAUAUAGAAAUGGAUUGUUACAUGAAAUUUUGUAAUCUGUUAAAGAAAAAUAAGACCGUUGAGAUCAAAAUCUUCACAAAUAUCCACCUUGAUCUCAAUGCAUGAAGCUCUCUACUUUCCAAAAACUGAUGUUAGUCUAACCCUUUUCAAGUAACUAGAAGCCAAUCAGCUCGAGACAUUUGGAUAGCUUGAGCUUCAUAAUAGGUUUUGUAAGUAUAUUGAUAGCAUUCUUAGAGGUAUGAACUUCCACCACUUCUAUUUCUCCCUUUCCGAUUUUGUCCCAUACUUAAUGGUACUUAAUUGCUAUAUGUUUAGUCCUUGAGUGAUAUUGUGGGUUUUUGAAAAGAUGGAUUGCACCUUGAUUUAUCACAAUAGAUCUUAACUACUGUAUGUGAUAUACAAAGUUUGCUAUUAAGCCUUAUAACCAUAAUGCCUCAUAUAAUAACCUAUAUAUAAUUUGAACAUACGAGAAUAGAAAAUCACUAACAGUCCUCAUGUUAAUUUCCUUUACAGUCCUCCUAAAGCAACCAUUGGUCUGGUUUUCUUGAAUACUACUUAUUUUUAAUGAAAUCCUAGAUUAGCUUAAAAUUCCUAAAAUAAAUCAAUUUUAGCUUUAAAUAUAUCCAUAAAUUGAAAUAACUAGCUUACCCACUUCAAAUUACCCAAAAAUAGGUCUAUCACCCCAAAACACAACUUUUGGGGUUAUUUAGAUAGUUUGGUGGGCGUGGGCGACAGUCAGCAUGCUGGGUUGGGCAUGGCGAGGCGGCAGACCUCGUACAGACGCAACGUGAUACAGUCUCAGGACGUGGGCAUGCACACGCGAGGUGUUGAGUAGUGUGCACAAUGCUGGCGUGUGUUGGAUCGCUCAGCCAUACGCAUUGAUGGUCGUUUGUAUCGUCCAGGUGGCACACUUGUGCAUCCAGCUGACCUUUCUGCCUCCCAAUGCAAAUUUCUCACUCCUCAUUAUUCCAAAUUAGAUGGCACCCUAGGAUCACCUACUACACUUUCCUCUUAAUAGUUUCACACAAAUUUUACCUGAAUUGCACGAGUGAAUUGUGAGCACCACCAGCCCCAAGAAGUCCUAUUUAUAGAAGCACGAAGACCACCUCUACUUGACACAUAUUUAGCCUUGCAUGUUCAGAUGCCCUUACCAUGCAAGUGCUGACGCCACCCCCUUGACACCUCUUCCUUGCAUGUGGCUAAAUUGUCCUCAUCCUCUUAACCUAACGCAUAGCCUCCCUUUGCAUGCCUUGUGGUGUGCCCACCUCAUCUUGCUUCAACCUCAAACUUCACUAAAUUUAGCCACUUGCCUCGAUUGUUGUUAACCUAGCCUUGCUCCCCAAGUUUACUCAACUCAAAGCAUCACCCCUUGGCCGCAUAGCCCUUCUUGGUCGCAUCCACCUUGUCGAUGCAUAGCCCCAAUUGAAUGCCUAACACCUCUCUUGGUUGCAUAGCUGAUAAUAAGUAGAAAUGCACAUUAUUACAACGCAAAUAAGUAAAACAAUGAGGGAAUGCGACGAUAAAAAUAUACAAAAUCAUGACCAAAAAGUGUUAAACUGAGAAGAUUGCGAUCGCAUGCGCCCAUCGCAUAAAAGUAGUUAAUUUACUUAUUUUGUGCAGGAAAAAUGCCUUGGCGCAAGU